ensembl:lncRNA
GUUUCCCACUAUUGAAUUCCAGACUUCUGUGUCACUGUCCCACUGGAACACUUGCUCUGUUGAAGACUGUCCUUGUUUGCUGCUCUAUCCUCAGUGCCUAGAACAGUGCCUGGACAGAGGAGUGUUCAGUCAAUCUUAUAGAACAAAUAUAUGAAUAAUUUGGGGCUUCUGUGGUGGCUCAGACAGUAGAGAAUCUGCCUGCAAUGCAGGAGAUCCAGGUUUGGUCGGGAAUAUCCCCUGGAGGAGGUCAUGGCAACCCACUCCAGUAUUCUUGUUGGGAAAAUUCCACAGACAGAGGAACCUGGUAGGCUACAGUCCAUGGGGUCACAAAGAGUGAGACAAGACAGCGACUUUCACUUACUCGCAGUUUCACUCACAGGCAGUUGAGCAGGUGACUAUUAAUCAGCUUUCUUGUUUAAGGUACUGUGCAGCUGGCUAAACCACAGUUUCCAGGUGGGAAUGAAAUCUGUAGGACAAGGAAGGACACAGUCAAAGAAUUUUGGUGCAUUCAAUGUGAUGCCAUUUUUUCCCAUUUCUUAGCCAAAUUACCUAAAAUUAUUAUUUUCCUUAGAAAUUUUUUAUUUGCUGCCUAAUUUGUCAUUUGCUACUAGGCAUAUUACGUCAAACUCUUGAUUGACCCAAUAUGAAGAUAUAAGAAAUUUAAAAACACACACAAUUGGUCUUAAGGGAAAGUGAAAGCAUAUGGAUGGAUGGUAUCCAUGUCUGAGCAAUUUCAUUGACCAUCCAUCAUGCUCCUCUUUUGAUUUUAUACUACACUGCAUUCCAGUGUGUGUUGAUUCAACCUGUAGGUUUCCUACCAUACUUUCUUUCAAUCCUUCUGUCUUUGUCUCUUGCAUCUCUCCCCUGUUCUCUGUCCCUGCUGGCUCUUCCACUCAUAAAGGCUUCCAUAUCCAAGCUGACCGGCCAGUCCCCUCUCUACCCUUACUAGAUGCCUUAAUCUUCACCAGCUUCCUUUGACCUGGCAUUUCUCCAAGAAGUUGGCAUCUUCUCUGAAAGCUCACUGAUAUUUAAACUCUGUAUAAAGAGCUCUCAAAGCUAUAUUAGCUUCCUGUGCUUUGGUUGGUCACUCAGUCGUGUCCUACUCUUUGCGACCCCAUGGCUGCAGCACACCAGGUUUACCUGUCCAUCACCAACUCCCAGAGCUUGCUCAAACUCAUGUCCAUCAAGUCAAUGAUGCCAUCCAAACAUCUCAUUCUCUGUCAUCCCCUUCUCCUCCUGCCUUCAAUCUUUCUCAGCAUCAGGGUCUUUUCUAAGCAGUCAGUUCUUCCAUCAGGUGGCCAAAGGAUUGGAGUUUCAGCAUCAUCCCUUGGACUGCAAGGAGAUCCAACCAGUCCAUCCUAAAGGAGAUCAGUCCUGGGUGUUCAUUGGAAGGACUGAUGCUGAGGCUGAAACUCCAAUACUUUGGCCACCUGAUGCGAAGAACUGACUCCUUAGAAAAGACCCUGAUGCUGGGAAAGAUGGAAGGCAGGGGAAGAAGGGGAAGACAGAGGAUAAGAUGGUUAGAUGACAUCACCGACUCGAUGGACAUGAGUUUGAAUAAGCCCUGGGAGUUGGUGAUGGACAGGGAAGCCUGGUGUGCUGCAGUCCAUGGGGUCGCAGAGAGUCAGACAUGACCGAGUGACUGAACUGAAAUGAACGCAGAACAGCCCCUGCAACAAAGAAUUAUCUGGCCCCGAAUUUUAAUAGUACCAAGACAGAGAAUCCCCACCCUAAAAAUACCCCAAGAUCUGAGUAAAAAACAGUUAUAAUUGUUAAAGUAACUCUAAAAAGGAAAUGAUAAAUUAUACAAAAGAGGAUAUUCUAAAAAAAUUUUAGAAUUAAAAAAAGAUUAAAAUUAGAGUUUUUUAAAUAUUGAAAGACGUAGAGACAAUUAGGGGAAAAGGACAAUGUCCAAAGACUAAUUGAACAGGCCAUGCAUAAUACAAGAGCAUAUGCUUAAAAUAAAAUGCUAAUUUAAAAUAGAUUAAAGAAAUGCGUGUGCAUGAGGUAACUCAGAAGAAACUGGUGAGAGUUACUUCCUUUCAACUUAUUUUCAUCUUUUCCAAUGCUCAGUGAACAGACUUCCCACUGAUUUCAAAGAAUAUUUUGGUUUUGAGAUUAGCUUUAUGGAAGCUAAAAAUUGGUCUUUAAAAACCAUUAACUCCUGGUCCUGUAGAUUUUGAAAUUCUUUAAAUAAAAGAACAUGCUACUAAACAGCACGUGCAGUGCAGUGCUCAUUCACUAAGUCAUGUCUGACUCUUUGUGACCCCCAUGGAUUUUAGCCUGCCAGGCUCCUCAGCCCACAGGGUUUUCCAGGCAAGAAAACUGGAGCGGCCUGCCAUUUUCUCCUCCAGGGGAUCUUCCCGACCCAGUGAUCAAACCCCCAUCUCCUACACUGGCAGGUGGAUUCUUUACCGCUGAGCCGCCUGGUAGACAACAGUGAUAGUUAGGGGAAUGAUGGGGCUUCUGUGGGUACUCAAAUGGUAAAGAAUCUGCCUGCAAUGCAGGAGACCCAAGUUCCAUCCCUGGUCAAGGAAAUGGCUACCCACUCCAGUAUUAUUGCCUCGGAAAUCCCACGGUCAGAGGAGCCUAGGCAGGCUACAGUCCAUGGUGUUGCAAAAGAGUCGGACACAGCUUAACAACUAAACUACAAGAACAACAAAUAAGUAAAGAUUAAUAGAAACUUUAGCUCAAAAAAACAACCUUUCAUUUGUUAAAAGUUAUUGAUAGGGAGACUUCCCUGGUGGCCUCGUGGGUAAGACUCCACUCUCACCAUGCAGGGGGUCACAAAGAGUUGGACAUGGCAGAGCAACUUUUACUUCACUUCAUGGGAAUGAUACCUAUUCCCAUAUUUUUAGGAGAGGUGUUUGUGAUGAUUAAAAAAAAAAAAAUCUGACUAGUAUAGGAAAGUGUUAUCCUAAUACAAUUAGUUUAAAACCAGAAACAAAAGGAAAAAAAAAAAAAAAAACCUCAGUCAUUAAAAAGGUCAUAUUAGUAAUUCUUAGACAAAAAGAAAAUAUUUAAUAUGAUAUAAGUUGCUUUUUUCAAAUCCUAUCAUUUGUGUGUGAAGAGGAUCAAAAUAUGCCACCCCAAAAUAUGUUUCUUUGGCAUACGGAUGAUCUUGAGCUGGUUAUUUUUAAGAAACAGCAGACGCAGGAAAAACUCUGAAAACCAAGUUGUUCUUUGUAAGGUACAUUUACAUUUAUAAGGGAAAUCAUAUUUAAACAUGUUUCCCUCUCUGUGGGCUUCCCUGGUGGCUCCUCUUCCCUGGUGGCUUCCCUGGUAAGAAUCUGCCUACAAUGCAGGAGACCCAGGUUUGAUCCCUAGGUUGGGAAGAUGCCCUGAAGAAGGGAAUGGCAACCCUCUCCAGUAUUCUUGCCUGGAGAAUUCCAUGGACAGAGGAGCCUGACGGGCUACAAUUCAUGGGGUUGUGAAGAAUCAGCCACGACUGAGCAACUAACACUUUCACUUUUCCUUCUCUGUAGUAGGAAGAGAAGAAGGAUUCUAAAUCUCUAGAAACUCUUGUCAAUGAAGAAGGUGAUGAUCGGAAUCUGUAAAACAAAUUUACCCUGUUCACUAUGCUUUCCCCAUAACUGUACUCUCCCCUACCCACACACAUCUCUCUUUUGUCUUUAGUUGAAGAUGGUACUUAAGGUGGUGGAUUGGGCCAUUUCAAGAAGUUACUCAGUUUUCUUGGAUAUCUUAAAUGUACACGAGAGGUAUUUUGUUGUUAUUUGUUAGUCGCUCUGUCGUGUCCAACUCUUUGUGACCCUAUGGACUGUAGCCCACCAGGCUCCUCUGUCCAUGGGAUUUUCCAGGCAAGAGUACUGGAAUGGGUUGUCAUUUACUCCUCCAGGGGAUCUUCCCAACUCAGGGAUCAAAUCUGACUGUCUUAAGUCUCUUGCAUUGGCAGGCAGAUUCUUGACCACUAGAAUGACAUGGGAAGCCCUCUAGUCCUUCCAAAUAUUAUGGCUCAGCUAAGGGUCUACUCUACAGAGAGUAUUUUGAUCCUUUAUAUCAUAUCCUUCUAAAAUAUACUUUUUAUUGGAGAGGUGAUAUCAUAUAUUUCAUGGAUGUCUCAUUUACUUGUUUUCUCCUAGGGUAUUCUUUUCUCUUUUUUCUGUGUUUGUUUGUUUGUUUUGGGUUUUGUCUUUUGUUUUUUAUGGGAGAAGGGGAGGCAAGGGUUAUUAUCAAUAAUGUUUGUAUUGGCAUCAAUGAAGAAAAAUUUUUUUUGUAUUUUCUGAUUAUAUCCUGAAGAAAAAUCACUAAAGUAGAAUCCAUGAACCAAGCAGUAUAAAAUUGAGGCCAUAAUGGUAUUACCAAUGGAAAUAGUUCAAAUGUAAAACCAAGCUACAAUUACUCUUUAGAAAUGCCAAAAUAACUGAGUCCUCAUUUUCAGAUGGUUACCUUGUUAAUUCCAUAGUAGCAUUUAUGAUGUCAUUAUUGCUAUCCUGGAGGAUAGCAGACUGCCUUGGCUCUUAAAGCAUUUUCUUGUGACAUGACCAGGUCCAUUAUGUCCUUUAUGUUCACAUCUGUUUCAUUAACUUCCUCCUCUUCUCUCUCCUCGUGUGCAAGAAGAGACCGUAUUUUUCUUGAAUGUCCCAGAUGGUUCUGCUGUGAACUUUGAGAUUCUCAACAGUUGCUGGCUGUGCUUGUUGAGAUAGGUCCUUGACCUUGGCUUCCUCCCAAGCUUUGUAGGUAUCGAAAGUUGGAUCCAUGUGGGCAGCUUGGUUCAUCAACAGUGAAAAUUAAAGAACCAGAGAGAGAGAAUCUAGC